UUUUAUGGAGAGUUUGAUCCUGGCUCAGGACGAACGCUGGCGGCGUGCCUAACACAUGCAAGUCGAACGGUUCUCGAGGUUCGACAUUCGAGGUUCGAAGUUCGAGUGAACGCAAGCCUUUGGGGUCCUUGACCCGAAAGGAAUGCUUGAAUCGAACCACGAAUUUCGAACGUCGAACUUCGAGGAUAGUGGCGGACGGGUGAGUAACGCGUGGAUAACCUGCCUGGUAGACCGGGAUAACAGCUGGAAACGGCUGCUAAUACCGGAUACGCUCGGGAGUUAGCAUGAACACUCGAGGAAAGCUUUCGUGCUAUCAGAUGGGUCCGCGUCCCAUUAGCUAGUUGGUGGUGUAAAGGACCACCAAGGCGACGAUGGGUAGCCGGCCUGAGAGGGCGACCGGCCACACUGGGACUGAGACACGGCCCAGACUCCUACGGGAGGCAGCAGUGGGGAAUCUUCCGCAAUGGGCGAAAGCCUGACGGAGCAACGCCGCGUGAGGGAAGAAGGCCUUCGGGUUGUAAACCUCUGUUUUUAGGGACGAAAAAGAUGACGGUACCUAAAGAGUAAGCUCCGGCUAACUACGUGCCAGCAGCCGCGGUAAUACGUAGGGAGCGAGCGUUGUCCGGAAUUACUGGGCGUAAAGGGCGCGUAGGUGGUCCAUUAAGUUACUGGUGAAAGUUCGGGGCUUAACCCCGUGAUUGCCUGUAAUACUGGUGGACUUGAGUGCAGGAGAGGGGAGUGGAAUUCCCAGUGUAGCGGUGAAAUGCGUAGAUAUUGGGAGGAACACCAGUGGCGAAGGCGGCUCUCUGGACUGUAACUGACACUGAGGCGCGAAAGCGUGGGGAGCAAACAGGAUUAGAUACCCUGGUAGUCCACGCCGUAAACGAUGAGUGCUAGGUGUUGCGGGUAUCGACCCCUGCAGUGCCGUAGUUAACACAAUAAGCACUCCGCCUGGGGAGUACGGUCGCAAGACUGAAACUCAAAGGAAUUGACGGGGGCCCGCACAAGCGGUGGAGUAUGUGGUUUAAUUCGACGCAACGCGAAGAACCUUACCAGGGCUUGACAUCCUCUGAAAAGUAUAGAGAUAUACUCCUUAUCCUUCGGGAUAACAGAGAGACAGGUGGUGCAUGGUUGUCGUCAGCUCGUGUCGUGAGAUGUUGGGUUAAGUCCCGCAACGAGCGCAACCCCUAACAUUAGUUGCCAGCGAGAUAGGUCGGGAACUCUAAUGUGACUGCCGUUGACAAAACGGAGGAAGGUGAGGAUGACGUCAAAUCAUCAUGCCCCUUAUGUCCUGGGCUACACACGUACUACAAUGGCCGGUACAGACGGAGGCGAAGCUGUGAAGCGGAGCAAACCUGAGAAAGCCGGUCCCAGUUCGGAUUGUAGUCUGCAACUCGACUACAUGAAGUCGGAAUCGCUAGUAAUCGCAGGUCAGCAUACUGCGGUGAAUACGUUCCCGGGCCUUGUACACACCGCCCGUCACACCACGAAAGCUGACAACACCCGAAGCCGGUGACUUAACCGCAAGGAGAGAGCCGUCGAAGGUGGGGUUGGUGAUUGGGGUGAAGUCGUAACAAGGUAGCCGUAUCGGAAGGUGCGGCUGGAUCACCUCCUUUCUAAGGA
rnacentral:rRNA from 2 species